rnacentral:rRNA from 1 species
AGCUGGAUUCGCUAGUAAUCGCGCAUCAGCCACGGCGCGGUGAAUACGUUCCCGGGCCUUGUACACACCGCCCGUCAAGCCAUGGGAGCCGGGGGUACCUGAAGUGCGUAACCGCAAGGAGCGCCCUAGGGUAAAACUGGUGACUGGGGCUAAGUCGUAACAAGGUAGC